AUGCAUCUAUUUGACAGGAUUGGAUCAAGUUAACAUCUUCUUUUAAGGUUCUCAUUACAGAUGCAAGAACAAAGACCCUCACACUUUCUUUCUGUCUGAUUGUGGCAGCCAAGAUUGAAUGGGAGAUAUAAGG